AUAGCUCCGCGGCCCUGAGUGUAUGGGAGCAGCUGGUGGGUCUGCUGCUUAGAGGACGGCUGUGCUCUUCGCCGUUGAGGUGUCGAUUGACUGCCCGUGGUCCAUCUACUCCACGGUCAUCGCACUGACCUUCAGCGUACCCUUCAGGACCACACACACCCUCCUGUCCUCAGGAACACGGAAAUAUGUUCAAGUUUGUGUCCAGAAUUUGUCAGAACUUGACUUUCAGCUGUCAGAUAGUUAUCUUGUAGAUACCGGUGAUAGUACCGACCUGCAACUAGUACCACUGAACACGCAGUCCCAGCAGCCCAUCUACAGCAAGCAGUCGGUGUUCUUCGUCUGGGAACUCAAGUGGACAGAAGAGCCUCCCCCUUCUCUGCAUUGCCGGUUCUCUGUUGGAUUUUCCCCAGCUUCUGAGGAACAGCUGUCUAUCUCCUUAAAGCCGUAUACUUAUGAAUUUAAAGUGGAAAAUUUUUUUGGUGGCCCUGGCCCCCUUGUCAGAUUCCAGCUGGCCAUCAGUGCUCGCGUGUCUCUCUGAAGAGGCUCCGCGGUUCUGGUCCCUGUGCCUGAGCUCCAGG
rnacentral:sRNA from 1 species